GAUUUCGGUAUGUUGUGUUUUAAUUUUCAUUUGUCUCCAGGUAUUUUUUGAUUUCUCCUUUAAUUCCUUUAUUGAUCCAAUAGUUCUUCAGUAGCAUUUUGUUGAAUAUC